ensembl:lncRNA
CUUCUGUCUCCAUUCAUCCGAUGUGACCCUUUCUCCUGCCACGUAUCUACCAUGGUUUGUUUCUUCAACAGCAGUGACUUUCAUAAACUUGGCCUAAUUUCUCUGCUGUAACCUUUAUAAUGUUAUGUAUAACUCCUUCAUAUUCUCCUAGGUCUUAUAAGAACUCUCUUCUUCUGCAACUACUCUCCUGUAGACAUGGAUUUUUCUAGCUGUGGCUUUUUCUCCAAGUUUCAGUUCUAUUCUGAAAUGCAGAUGUUCAUGCACUCUAAACAGACGUUCUCAAUCCAUAAUAUUCCAUGCUAUUCCCAGACUAGAAAGCAGUCUCUAUCUCAGAAUGUUGAUAAAGACAGCAGUGUUGCCAGCGUAACCCUAAUAUUCUUUUGGUCUUCCUCUAUGCCCUCACCUCAUUGUUCCUCAUCCUUUAUAGAAAAAAAUGACUGUUGUAUAGGCUGUUCACUGUGUCUUUAAUGACACUCGAUAGCACAGGUCAAGGCUGAAAGGACAUGAAGCACAACCAAGUGUCUCAAUCUUCAUUCAGAUUUUAGCCUGUGUCAUAGCAGGAAGAAAUUUAAUACAAUGGGCUACCUAGCUCAGCUACAGGAUGUUGAUUCCAUGUGAAAUAUUGGAACCAUUCAAGAAGAAUGGAAAGACUGUAAAAUAGUUGAACAUGACUGGUCUGUGAAAGGACAGUAGAUGAAUAGAGAAUUGUGGAAUAACAGCACCUGCCUUAGAACAUUAUGCGUCUGCAUCCCUGAAGAUAUGCAUGCCUCUAUUUGGAAACUCAGUGAACAGAAAGCACAACAUUAUUUAAUAUUGUCUGUACCUUCGUCUGAUGUUGCAGCAUGGACCACUAGCACGUUUUUUGUUCUUGCUUCUGUCCUUAAAUGGCCCAAGUUAAUUUGCCUCAGCUGGAGACAGCUCACCCAUCCUGAUAUGGUACCUGCAUGCAUAGAAGAAAAGUAAUGAAAGAAUUCCUGUGGUUUGGGUCAGUAAAUAAAACAGAAAGUCUUUCUGGUGGUUGUGGUUUCUGCACUUAACAAUGUGCUGUCUAUCCUUGCUAUUACAGAUCUUAGUUGAGUCUUAUAUAAACUAAACUCUAU